UGGUAGUCCAAGCCAGCGGCCCCAUCAACUAUCACCGUCUUCCUCACCAUGUUCGGAGAGAAACUCAAGGGCGCUGAUCCGGAGGACGCUAUCAUGGCUGCCUUCAAGGUUCUGGACCCAGAAGGCACGGGGUCCAU